AGGCAGCAGUAGGGAAUAUUGGGCAAUGGUCGCAAGACUGACCCAGCCAUGCCGCGUGCAGGAAGACGGCCCUCUGGGUUGUAAACUGCUUUUAUCUGGGAAGAAAAAGUCCAUGCGUGGAAAAUUGCCGGUACCAGAUGAAUAAGCACCGGCUAACUCCGUGCCAGCAGCCGCGGUAAUACGGAGGGUGCAAGCGUUGUCCGGAUUUAUUGGGUUUAAAGGGUGCGUAGGCGGCUGAAUAAGUCAGCGGUGAAAGACUUCGGCUUAACCGGAGCAGUGCCGUUGAUACUGUUUAGCUUGAGUGUUGGAGGGGUACAUGGAAUUGAUGGUGUAGCGGUGAAAUGCAUAGAUACCAUCAGGAACACCGAUAGCGAAGGCAUUGUACUGGCCAACAACUGACGCUGAGGCACGAAAGUGUGGGGAUCGAACAGGAUUAGAUACCCUGGUAGUCCACACUGUAAACGAUGAUUACUCGCUGUUAUGGUGUAUGCUGUAGCGGCCAAGCGAAAGCGUUAAGUAAUCCACCUGGGGAGUACGCCGGCAACGGUGAAACUC
rnacentral:rRNA from 1 species